GUUAGCCAGGCUUUGGUGCCCGGGUCGUACUGCCAGUGAGGACCACAGAGGGGUUCACACCGUCCUUGCUUGCAGGAAGGCUUCCGGAUGGGUGUCUUUGGCCAUGGAGGGGAAGAGAGAGGAACAUCGGGUCCUGAGCCAUUGCUACCAACCUACAGAUGGAGGGCCAUCAGUAGGAAACUGUCCUGGACCGAUGGGUUGAAGACCCUCGUUGGAGAUCUUUCCACCUCUAUCUUCUGCUGAAUCCUGAAGUCUCUUGGAGUCACCUUUGCCCAUGUAGCAUCCUGCUGCAGCUCUCCUCACCACCGUGGCCAAAUGCUUCUUCACCUUCAGUGAACGUCUCUUCACAACCUCCCCCCAGCGCCAGGGCUGGAGCCACGUGCACGCGGCCCCCCGACUCUGUAGGGAGGCGAGGUGUUGGGCCAUCUCUCCCGCAUCUCCAAACGGCAGCCAGACACCAGGCCUUCUCCUGCUUUUGGCACACCUCCGCCCAUCGUCUUCGUGGCUCGCAUCUGAAACGAUCCCCCCCAUUCAAGGUGAUCCAAGAAGUGAUUGGAGCCGGUUCAGGGAAGCAGACUGGCGCUGUACGUCUCACCUCGCGCUGUCUCCUGACCACCUCCUUGUCGCAGCGAGCACCAGGAACGUGGACCUCCUGUCGCUGCGCUGCCACAGCUGCCUCUGCAUAGGCUCUGAAAACAGGGAAGCUCAUCCUGCUCUCACAGGGUCAUGAAUAAGGACUGUUCAAGACUGGUUUGAAUCAAAUCCUGUCUGGUUCCAGAGAACUGCUAUCGUCACAGGGACGCAGUGCAGAAUCAGAAGGAAGAGGACCUCAAUUUCAUGAGAUUAAGAAACCAGUGCAUGACUUUAAAGAUGGCAAGUAAAACCCUUUAUCAGCAGUUACAGAAAACUGUCAAAGCUCUGGACUGCAAGCCUGCAGUGUCAACCACCAAACCUCAAAUGCUGCUGAGCACAAUUUGAGACCAUCUCGGAACUGAUGCUCUCUGGAGCACGCAGCACCAGCCCGCGUUUGGUUACUCUUUUUGCUCGGGAAUCCGUUUGAUAGACAUACAUAAAGGGGGACAAAGUCUUCCGCAAAUUACUCUACGUUUCAGGGACAGACGUGCAUUGCACUGACACUCUGCAAGACUUACUUUUCUCAAAGAGUUCAAAGCCUGGCAAAACACAAGCUUCUCGGUAUAACGUGAAGCCUGUUGCUUUCCAAAGAACCUAGGUUGGCAGCUGCUGUCUGUCAGAGUAGGUCCCUGUGCUAGCAGCAAGCAAAGCAAGGGAGCAUCCGUGCGUGUUUCCAGCAUUGCUCUAGCAGGCUGCACAUCAAGAGCUCUGCUUUCAACACUGCUGCAGCCCAUGCUGGCAGCAGCAGUCAGAGGAGGGCGUUUGGCUAAUGCCAGUGAGUUAACACAGAGCCUCCUCACCUUUUGCUUCCUGCCACAAAAAUCAGCGUGCAAACGUGAGCGUGUGCGCGUGUAGGUGUUUGCGGCAGACAGCACUAAUUUAAAACCUUUCAAACCAGUGCCAUGCAGUUGCUUUUAAACCAAUGCAGAAAUCCAGUGGCUGCUGCGGCAGCUAAGACACUGCACCUAUUAUCUGUCAAGGAAAACAUGA